AAUGCGGGACUCUAAGAGGCCCCGUAAUUGGAAUGAGUACACCUUAAAUCGUUUAACGAGUAUCAAUUGGAGGGCAAGUCUGGUGCCAGCAGCCGCGGUAAUUCCAGCUCCAAUAGCGUAUAUUAAAGUUGCUGCAGUUAAAAAGCUCGUAGUUGGAUCUGGGGCUUGAGGUCGCUGUCUAUCGUUUCGGCGAUGACGGUGAUGCUCAGCUCUGCUUGCCGGUGACUGUUGCGGUGUUCUUCACUGAGCGCUGUAGCAGCACGGCACGUUUACUUUGAAAAAAUUAGAGUGCUCAAAGCGUGCUUGUCGCUUGAAUGAUGUUGCAUGGAAUAAUGGAAUAGGACCUCGGUUCUAUUUUGUUGGUUUUCGGAGCUUGAGGUAAUGAUUAAGAGGGACGAACGGGGGCAUUCGUAUUGCGGUGUUAGAGGUGAAAUUCUUGGAUCGCCGCAAGACGGACUACUGCGAAAGCAUUUGCCAAGAACGCUUUCAUUAAUUAAGAACGAAAGUCAGAGGUUCGAAGACGAUCAGACACCGUCCUAGUUCUGACCAUAAACGAUGCCGACCAGCGAUCCGUAGUGGUUGCUUUAUGGACCCUACGGGCAGCCUCCGGGAAACCAAAGUAUUUGGGUUCCGGGGGAAGUAUGGUUCAAAGCUGAAACUUAAAGGAAUUGACGGAAGGGCACACCAGGAGUGGAGCCUGCGGCUUAAUUUGACACAACACGGGAAAACUCACCCGGUCCGGACACCGUAAGGAUUGACAGACUGAUAGCUCUUUCUUGAUUCGGUGGAUGGUGGUGCAUGGCCGUUCUUAGUUGGUGGAGUGAUUUGUCUGGUUAAUUCCGAUAACGAACGAGACUCUAGCCUGCUAAGUAGUGUUGCUAUUGUUAUAUGGUUGACACUUCUUAGAGGGACAAGUGGCAUUUAGCCACGCGAAAUUGAGCAAUAACAGGUCUGUGAUGCCCUUAGAUGUCCGGGGCCGCACGCGCGCUACACUGGAGAAGUCAGCGUGUGUUAUCCAAGUCCGAAAGGACUGGGUAAUCCGUUGAACCUUCUUCGUGCUUGGGACUGUGGCUUGGAACUAUUCCACAUGAACGAGGAAUUCCUAGUAAUUGCAAGUCAUAAGCUUGCGUUGAUUACGUCCCUGCCCUUUGUACACACCGCCCGUCGCUACUACCGAUUGAAUGGUUUAGCAAGGUCCUCGGAUCGUGGCCGUAGGGGCACGCAAGUGUUUCUGCGGUUUGCGAGAAGACGACCAAACUUGAUCAUUUAGA
rnacentral:rRNA from 1 species